CACAUGCAAGUCGAGCGGUAACAGAAAGUAGCUUGCUACUCUGCUGACGAGCGGCGGACGGGUGAGUAAUGCUUGGGAACAUGCCUUGAGGUGGGGGACAACAGUUGGAAACGACUGCUAAUACCGCAUAAUGUCUACGGACCAAAGGGGGCUUCGGCUCUCGCCUUUAGAUUGGCCCAAGUGGGAUUAGCUAGUUGGUGAGGUAAUGGCUCACCAAGGCAACGAUCCCUAGCUGGUUUGAGAGGAUGAUCAGCCACACUGGAACUGAGACACGGUCCAGACUCCUACGGGAGGCAGCAGUGGGGAAUAUUGCACAAUGGGCGCAAGCCUGAUGCAGCCAUGCCGCGUGUGUGAAGAAGGCCUUCGGGUUGUAAAGCACUUUCAGUCAGGAGGAAAGAUUAGUAGUUAAUACCUGCUAAUUGUGACGUUACUGACAGAAGAAGCACCGGCUAACUCCGUGCCAGCAGCCGCGGUAAUACGGAGGGUGCGAGCGUUAAUCGGAAUUACUGGGCGUAAAGCGUACGCAGGCGGUUUGUUAAGCGAGAUGUGAAAGCCCCGGGGCUCAACCUGGGAACUGCAUUUCGAACUGGCAAACUAGAGUGUGAUAGAGGGUGGUAGAAUUUCAGGUGUAGCGGUGAAAUGCGUAGAGA
rnacentral:rRNA from 1 species